CCGACAUGGCAGCGAGGUUCCCGAGCCAACGCCAUCCUCCGUUCCUUCCGUCACUCACUCACUAAUCACUGUUCCUGAGUUCCUUCACUUCUCACCCGUCAUUUAUUGCGCACCUAUUCUGUGCCAGGCACUCGGCCAAGCACUGCGAGGCCUUCAAAGAUCAUUUCUUUGUCUCUCCCAAACCCUUCCGCCCAGUCCCACCCGCAGAGCUGCAACGCUCUGCCAUUAUCCCUGAUUCUUAACCGCCGCCUUUCUCCUUUCCGUUCUUGCCUCACUGGGCCUCCCUGAGACACUUGAUUUGCCCCAACCUUCUUCCUCUGUCUUGGUUCUCCCACUCUCAUCAGCUCUGCAUCCCCUGGGUCCUCUCCCACUUCUCCCCAUUCCGUUGGGGCUAGUCCAAUGUGGUGCCAUCCUCUUUCCACCUGCGUCUCUCUCUCUUCUCUCUCUCUCUCUCAACAAAUGUCAUCCCUGACUCUUCCCUUCUCCUUCCCUUUCCCACACGCCAACAAUGGCUGAAUCCUCUGAUUUGACCUCAUUGUCUCUCAGACACCUCACCCUCUCUCCCUUCUCACUAUCCCUCCCUCGGCUCAGUUCCACACCAUUUGUAAUGGUCAAGACCUUCUUACCCUUUCCCCAGCGUCCAGUGUUGCCGGUUUCCAGGCCAUCCUGUGCUGGGCCACGACAUCAACUUGUGAUACUAAGUUGCAUUAAUGGAAGUAUCAUGUCAAAGUUUGGGUGUUCCACCUUGGGCAACUGGCAAAGAGGAGGGUAUUCAAAAAAAGCUGCCAUGUUCCCCAAUAACCUAUGGAAAUAAAAUAAAUAAAAAAUAAAAAUUUAAAGAAGAGCUGU
rnacentral:lncRNA from 1 species